CUAACUCUUUUCAAAAUCUUCUCAGGCCACUCAACAAUUAUUAGCAGACUUGAAAUUGAUUGCAUCCCCAAUUCAUCACUACAAUUUGAUAUACUGCCUGCCUUUUGGCGAAUUAGAUUGCCAAAUUAACAGGGACUGAGCAGCCGUAACCCCUCGCCGGGGAAGCUCCAUGCCAGCGCCUCCCAGAUGAACCAUCACCUUGGUUACCCCGGCGGAGUGGUUCUCGAUGGCGAAGGACGAACAAAGAAAAUUUCAAAUAAAUUAACAAGUUAAUUGAGUUUCGUGUUUAGGCAGCGAGGGAAAGCGAUCCCAAGCAGCGGGGCCCGAAAGCCGAGACCCCAGAGCCAAGCCACCUUAUGGCCAAUAAUCGGGGGGAGUCGCCAGGUGAUACCGACGCCCCCGCAAUUGCGGUCAAAAUAUAGUAUUCACACUGCCAGCAAAAGGCAUGCCUAACUCUUGGAUAUUUUUUAAUCCUCAGUAAAACAUAUGUCACAUAUCAUUUGGAGGCCAAUUUGGCAUUAUCUUCUUUAUAAGUCCCCUUCAGCCCCCGGCCGGUGUCCUUGUCGAUGGUGUCGAAAGCUCUGCGGUUUGUCAGGUGCGUUAAACUGUGCGGUUCGCGAUGCGGUCGCCGCCGGCUAUUAACAAUUAACAAUUAAUGCUAAAUCAAUAAGCAAACACAACAUAUUUGAAAGGAUCUGGCAAAAAGCGGCGAAGGCGACAAUGUCAUUUAUAUGCUAAUUAGGGCGGCUCAAGGAGGUCCAUCUAUCCGUCCAUCUAUUCAGCCAGGAUAAGGCCUUCCUGCCGGCCGCUGGACGAAUUAAUUAAACUUUUUCGCCUUGCCGCAAAAUUUGCAAAAAACACGGCCGCCACAGGACAAAAGCCUGGCGCAGAAAAUGCAAUCCCAAAUUCGAGUGCCCCCGACCUGGUUUUUGGGCUUCCUGCGCCGGGUCCAUCUCCAUGUCCGCGUCCGCAUCCGGAUCCUGGCCUACAUAUGUGGGACAUGUGCAACAAAAUCAUUUUUCAAUUACAUUUUCGGGUUUUCGUGUGCGGUCCGGGGUUUUUGGUCCUUUAAAAAGCGACCAUGACCACACGCCAGGUGUAUGGUGUAUG